AAUAUCAUAAGUCAAUGAUUAUGAUUGUGUCAAUUUUCAAUUUUUGACAAUUUCAUUGCUGUCGUAUGGGAUUUAUUAUAAUGAAAUAGAUUCCAUUUAACAGCUUUAUGAUCUGUAUACGAUACACGUGUACAUUUCAUACGUCAGCGCAAUGAAAUUCAAAGUUGCAUCUUGUGUGAAAAAAAAACAUAGUUGGCGCGUAUGAUACUCGAUCAAAUAUAGUGCAAACAUGGCUUCCGCUGAUGGUUCACUUUAGGAUCUUCCGAUUUCGGCUAGUGCGUUGCAAGUAUUCACAGAGUGCGGAGUGGAUAUAACCGCUUUAAAUUGUUGGACGGAACGGAAAUUAUUGAUGCUAUUUCUUCUGCCCAAGUAAAUUGGAAUACCAGUUUAAUUUGGGAAUGGAUUUCAAAUUGGCGGUGCCGUAAUAAUCUCAAUGGAGCGAUUAUUGAGUGAAAAUGAGAGUCUUCAAUUAUUAUUAUUACGUCACGUAACGUAUUCGUUGUGUAUAAAAUCGUGCUUACAGUUUGCGUAUCAUGCACACAAUAAAUCGUUCACUGAGUCUUAUGUUGAAGGAAUUUUCAAAAAUCAAGCAAUUAAGCUUAAACCAUACUGGAAUAACAUUGAAACAUGGCUUUUUUGUAACAAAGAUACCGUUAGUUUGGCAUCUUCUUGUAGAUUUAAGGGCAUUUCAUACAAAACUUGCUAUUUUUUAUAAGAACAGACAGUAAUAUUGUUAAUCUUUUUGAGGCUGAGGAAUACUUAAUGGACAACCGUGAUGUUUAUGCCAUAUGUAGGCAAUGGAUUUGUGGGAACCAUGAUUCCCAUUAUGUAACUUUAGAGGUAAUAGAACGUACAAAUCAUUUUAUACUUAUCAAAUUAGAUUCCAUUGAUGAUCCACCUUUCACUGUACACUUUUUAGGUAAUAAGCAUUUAUUUAGAUAUAAAAAGGUAUUUAUU